rnacentral:lncRNA from 1 species
UUGAUUCCAAAGUGCUGCUGUCUACUAUCUACUGCUACUAAUUCUUUUUUCUCUCCUUUAUUUCAUCGCAAUUUCAGGUACACAUCUGUAAUUCUAGCGCUCGUAGGCUGAAAGCAUGAAGAUUGAAUAUAUGUGAAGUUUUGAAAUCCUGAUUUAGCUUCUCUCUCAUUUGUGCAUUUAAACUUUCAUUCACUGAUGAUUUGUAGAUCCUUUUUAGUUAUAGUAAUUGGAGUGAAGUUGAAUUGUAUGAGAGCUUUUAAACAUAGCUUACAUUAAAUGAGCUUAUUGGAUUGUUUAAG